GUACCAUGCACCUGCUGCUUUUGAAUAUAAUAAUUAAAUAGUUCAAUUUACAAUUCUAUACCUUCUUUAAAGCCAUCAUAACUUCAUUAAAAAGAAUAAAAAUGACAGCUUACAAAGUACCUGUUUUCGGUCGUAUCAUUCAAUCACAAAGAAAAAUCUUUUAACUACCACAUGUAAAAAACAUCUCACUUCCCUUAACUACUUCUUGGAAGGGCAGCCCCUUUACAUACUUGUAGCUUUUUCUCCAAACUAUGUACCUGACACCAAACAUAGGUUUCACAUUUCCAAGUAAAGUCCAACAUCUCUUCAGGUUUGUUGACAUGUUUCCAAUCCUGUAAGUGUCUCCCAGGCAACAGAAUUCUAGGAGGACUAAACACAGUAUAUUAAAAACAGAUGGAAAUUGAGAUGUUGAUCAAGUGAAUACCAAAAACAGUGAAAACUAGAAAAGUGACAGGCCUGACAUCGAUGUUUGUAUCCUAAUGAUACUGCAAGAAGCAAGUAAUGAAAAUUGACAGCAGAUUUACCUGCCUGUAAUAGGCAGGACUGGAGACAAGCUGUGGGGGUGACUGGCUUGAUUGAUGUGAUACUGCCCAUUAGGUAUAAAACAGAGAUGGAAGCUGAUGUUGAAGAACAUAUUUCACUUGGAAGAACAGUACAUAUUGUUAUAGGCAAGUUCCGCUAUGAAGAGAAAAGUGGGUCAGUUAUGCUGUGCAUAUAUUUGGAAAUGCCAGGACUAUUCCCAUUGAGUUAAAUGAAGGACUAUAAGGUGGGUGACUUUUUUGAGUUUUGACUUGUUUAAUGUAUUAUAUAUUAAAAACUUCUGAAGUCAAAGGAUGCAAUAUAUAGGACUCAGC
rnacentral:lncRNA from 1 species